rnacentral:rRNA from 1 species
GACGGACCACACGAACGUUAUUCGGAAUUACUGGGCUUAAAGGGUGCGUAGGCUGUGCAGAAAGUUGGGUGUGAAAUCCCCCGGCUCAACCGGGGAACUGCGCCUAAAACUACUGCGCUCGAGGGAGACAGAGGUGAGCGGAACUUAGGGUGGAGCGGUGAAAUGCGUUGAUAUCCUAAGGAACACCGGUGGCGAAAGCGGCUCACUGGGUCUCUUCUGACGCUGAGGCACGAAAGCCAGGGGAGCAAACGGG